rnacentral:rRNA from 1 species
AGUCAAUAGAUACCCGGGUAGUCCAUGCCGUAAACGAUGAUUGCUAGGUGUGGGGGGUCUGACCCUUCCGUGCCGGAGUUAAACACAAAUAAGCAAUCCACCUGGGGAGUACGGCCGCAAGGUUGAAACUCAAAGGAAUUGACGGGGGCCCGCACAAGCAGUGGAGUAUGUGGUUUAAUUCGAAGCAACGCGAAGAACCUUACCAGGUCUUGACAUCCACCGAAUCCUGUAGAGAUACGGGAGUGCCCUUCGGGGAACGGUGAGACAGGUGGUGCAUGGUUGUCGUCAGCUCGUGUCGUGAGAUGUUGGGUUAAGUCCCGCAACGAGCGCAACCCUUGUGAAUAGUUGCUACGAAAGAGCACUCUAUUCAGACCGCCGUUGACAAAACGGAGGAAGGUGGGGAUGACGUCAAAUCAUCAUGCCCCUUAUGACCUGGGCUACACACGUACUACAAUGGUCGUCAACAGAGGGAAGCAAGACCGCGAGGUGGAGCGAACCCCUAAAAACGAAUCUCAGUUCAGAUUGCAGGCUG